CGGAAGUGUCGUGCAUCGGCGUCGGGUGCGAAAUUCCCUGCAUGGUAUUAAAGGUACCGACACUGGAAGAGCGGAUAAAUGCAAAGUGAACGAUCACUGUUGCCCCAAGGUCCUCUCUGGGAAAAGCAUUUGUAUGAUGAAUGGAUGAUGUAGGCGCGGACUGGCCAUUGGGAACACCCUAAGCUCCCUCCAGUCGGUGGCAAAAUAUGGCAAGGGCGAUCGGCGCGAUCGGCGGAAAAGUAUAUCAAGGAGAACCCCCACCCGGCCGGCGGGGAAAUGUGUCAAGUGCCCCCCCGACUGACAGCAAAUGACCGAAUUGGGGCCGCCCCUGGAAUGAUGAAUGUUCCCUUAAGACUUAAAAUGAACUUGUAUUUAAUUACUUUUUUCAUACCACCAUGAUGUUUAUCUGUUUAUCUCCCACUAAUAACUUUUGGCAUAAAUAACUAACCAGAGGUUGUUUUACCAAAUGCUGUUUCCUUUAUAUUUUUGCUGUAGUCUUUAAUUCUCAGUACAUAAGAAUGACCUAAUACAUAUGAGGAUGUAAAAUUACCUAUAAUGCGUUUGGAGAACAUUUAUUUCAGUGAUAUCUUUGUCCAGAGUUUAAAAGCAACAUGUAAUUCAAUACACGAAGCUGACAGGCACAAAUUCAAACACGGCUACCGGCAGCUGGGAGAACGAGAUUAGCUUUGAGCCCAAAUGUAAUUAGAUCUGGGAGAGUUUAAGUGGAUUUACCUUAACAUCCGAGACACUGACAGAAUAGGUAAUACAACAGCUGCUUUGACAUGUGGCCAUUGUGGUGAUUCGGUGUAUCGAGUUCAGUAAUGUCCUGUUAGUAGGUCUACUUUCUGCUUAUCAAAUUGCUUUGUCUUUUGGGCAAGUUUCACAUUGACAAGGCCGGAGUGACAACUUCUAAACCAAAUUUUACCUCGUUUUGAGGUGAUAGAUUUUGCAGACUCAUUUAGGCAAUUAAAAAAUAGGAAGGAGGUCAGGAAAACAUAUUUUAGUUAUGAUUAGAUAAUUUAAAAUAGCAAAAAUUGGAUGCAUUUAUUUACAUUUUAAAACAUUUGUUUUUUCUUUGUUAAUCCAUCGUAUACAUUUCUGUGUAAAGUUCGAUUUUGCAUUGGUUUAUAUGUAUCUUUGUACGUUUUUAAAGACAAAUAAAUAUUGAGGGGGAAAGUACA